rnacentral:lncRNA from 1 species
UAAAGCCAUUAAUCCUUUGUGUGACUGCUAUGGAUACUGAAAACUGCACAAAAGACAGAGAACAAUGGGAUCUCUAUAUACCUUAAAAAUUAAUUAUUCAAUGGCCUUAAUGCAUUGCGUGGCUGAAGUCAAAACUGAAUUGUAACUUGACAUACCUGCAGAAGAAGUAUUCCAAUGGAUUUAUGUAAUCUGCAUUAAUGAAAUACAAGAAGAAGAGCAGUGCUGUGAAGGAUAUCGAUCGAGACAGUUUGAUUGUUGUCAGAAUCAGGAAUAGAGCUCUGAUCUCUUCAGUUUUUGCCAAGAAAGCUCAGGGGCUGAAGACGAUGUAAAGAUCUCGCUCCUAAAAUCCUGGUGAGAUUUACUGCUUGUAUGAAUGUCGGCUACAUGGCACAUACUUGGCCAUGAUGAGACCUCCCACAAGUGCUGACUGUAUGAGCAGGGUUUACGGGGUUGAAAAGAAAUAUUUUCCUUGGAAAACAGAAACUGUAAAAAUCAACACUAAAAGUAAGUAAACUCCAAUUUAGACUAAUUCAAAUAUUUUUUUUACACUGAUCAGAGACUCCUCUUAUGGUGGACUGUGAAAGCUGGAGUAUACCAGGCUGAUUUGAAUCACCUAUUUGAAAAUCAUAGUUUUGCAAAGUGGUGGUGUCUGAAUUUUGGUUACCAGUUAUAAGUUCAAA